rnacentral:rRNA from 1 species
GCACAAGCGGUGGAUGAUGUGGUUAAUUCGAUGCAACGCGAAAACCUUACCCACCUUUGACAUGGCAGGAAGUUACCAGAGAUGGUUCGUGCUCGAAAGAGAACCUGCACACAGGUGCUGCAUGGCUGUCGUCAGCUCGUGUCGUGAGAUGUUGGGUUAAGUCCCGCAACGAGCGCAACCCUUGCCAUCAGUUGCUACGAAAGGGCACUCUGAUGGGACUGCCGGUGACAAACCGGAGGAAGGUGGGGAUGACGUCAAGUCCUCAUGGCCCUUAUAGGUGGGGCUACACACGUCAUACAAUGGCCGGUACAAAGGGCAGCCAACCCGCGAGGGGGAGCCAAUCCCAUAAAGCCGGUCGUAGUCCGGAUCGCAGUCUGCAACUCGACUGCGUGAAGUCGGAAUCGCUAGUAAUCGUGGAUCAGCAUGUCACGGUGAAUACGUUCCCGGGUCUU